rnacentral:misc_RNA from 1 species
CCACGCCGGGAAAAUACCCUGUGCGCGUUUCGGGCGGGAGGUGCACACGCCGGAUGGAGGUGUCGCCACAACACUUCGGCAGCUCUCAUGCGGGCAUCGACUCUCGCGUUUUGCGAAGUUCUCGCUCUUGACAGGCGGCGCGGUGCAGACAGGCAUCAGGCGAGGAGCGGCGGCGAUGCUCUACAACAAUACUGCGCUGACACGUGCUGCGAAAACACACCGCGAGCCCUUGCGUGCAGUUGCCGCGCUGAGUGUAAAGCGAUGGAGCCGGGGCUCGGCCAACCGCGAAGAGAGCUGGAGCAGCGAAGGCGCGGGCGGUGAGGCGCGGCUGUUGCACACCGCCUCCCCCGCCCAUGGCACCCGACACCGGCCCCCGCAAGAGUAAAGGGUGCGCUUGUGUGUGGCAUACUGCGGCGUGCGGGCGGGGGCAUAAGCGCUGUCGCGACUGGCCUGUCGCGUGCGCCUCCGAUUUCAGCCUGCCUUUUCGCACCACGAAUGGGAACACAAGGACAGAGUGCACAGGCUUUCGAAAUAGGCAGCGCCGGAGGCGCCAUCACCAACUGCAUGGAUCACGGACCCGGCCACCGGCCCCAGACGCCGAGCCGACAUCCCCCGAAACCGCGCCGCCCGACGCAACACGCGACGACAAGGGCUGCUUGGCGGCGAGAGACCACCUCUGCUCGGCUGUGCACGAACACCUUUGCGCACCUUGGGCUCCCACAGCGACGGGCGACAGGCAGUGGCAACAUGGAGUGCAGACGGUGUGCUGCGCACGACUCCGCCAGCGUUGCGGCACCCCCAUCCCCGGCUGUGCUUGUUACGAGGGCUUCCGACCCAUCGUUGCGCCCCGGAAUGCCACGUGAGCCUCCCCGAUUCCUUGAAGCUCGAAGCGCGCCGAGUUUGAAGCCCCGGGCUUGCACGCAAUGACUUGGCCACGCACACCCCACCCGCGCUGCAUGAGCGUCCCCUCUCGGGUGUCCACGGAUGCUGCCCACUGUCUCCCCCAGAACGGCAGACUACGAGCCCUUGCGCUCAGGAACCUGCUCAUUCACGGGCCUCCUCCGCCUGAAACACCCGCACCUGGCCAAGGCAUGCGGGCUCAGAAGUGGGGGGGGUCGAUGCCCCCAUGCAGCCAUAGACCCACAGCGCCGCCUCACCUGUCGUGGCGCAUGCGGGCAGGUCAUCCCAGCGCGCCCCCGUGGCACGGACGGAAACGGAAGAUGCAGGCAGCGAGCCCCCCACCCCAGACAACAACGCCGUUCUGAAGCAAGCCCCCCCCCCUCCACCACCACACGUGCGAAGAUGCGGGCGCUGUGCGCAGACACUCUCGGGCACAACGCGCCUGGCGCAUCGCAUCCGAGCAAGGCAUGCAGCGGCCACAAGGGCACGGGUGAUGAACGUAGAUGGCGCGCAGAGACCCACACGGAUCAUCCCCAGGGCGCAUGUGAGCGAAACAUGCGGCACCUCCAACACCCGGCCCUGUGGACAAACGAGGCGCCAAUGCCGGAAGCAUGGCGAGAGCGCCGUGAAUAGCACCGUCGAAUUCUGCAGACCCGAAUGCCACGAUCCCCCAGGCCAUACUAUGGGAUACUGCGGCGUGAUGCGACUGUGGGGGAUGGGGCGGGCGAGGCAUGGCGCACAGGCGGGGCGCAGGGGCUCGGGGGGCCCUGGCCUGCGGCUGCCCGACUUUCUUCCUGAGCUCACCCGACAUGCGCCUGGACCCCGCCCCCUGCUGCCCUGCACGGAAGGCGCCACCUCUUGCUUCCCUCCGGCGGUGGACCCUGGGCGCGGCCCGCGUGGGUCAAGCCGUGCGGUGCCCCCGGGGCCGCCUGGCGCAGAUGAUGCGGAGUGUCCCGGAGGAAGGGGGCGAGAAGAGCCCAUUAGGCGCAUGGGCGGGCUCGGCGGCAGGACGGUUCGCCCUAGACGGCCGGGAUGGAGCCGUGACGCGGCAGCGGCGGAUGCGCGGCGGAUGCGCGGCGGCUGUGUUAGCCUGCGCCCGCGUACUUUUGGCGUUUAACAGGCGCGCCCCCAAAAAGUGGGAAAAGCAUCUUAUUCGUGAGAACAGGAUGCUUUUUUUGCCCCUUGUAAUUUUUUUGGUUGCUUUAAAGGUGUUUCUGUGGCAAAAAUGCGCGGGUAUCGUGUCUCUUUUUUUAAACGAAAAGUCCGCUGAAAAGGUUUUGGUGGUUGUUUUUUUUCUGUCGUGCGGCUUGGCGGGUUCAUUUUCCUUUUUUUGUGGGGGUGGGCGGGUGCUUUGCCGAAAGGCUUUCGCGAUUCGGGGGCGAAAUCUUCUGGUGAGGCGGGGCGCCGAUUACAAGGAGGCGUGGGGGGACAGGGCGUGGGGCUUUAGGAAAAGGCUGGCGGCGGCGCCGCCGGCCAUUUUUUCGGCGGCUUUUUGCCGGCCCAGGUAAAGAAGCCACCAUGUUUUCAGAAUAGGGUUUAUUUG